rnacentral:ncRNA from 12 species
CUCUCGUAGUCAGAUGUUAGGUUAUCAAGGUAAUCUAAUCAGUACAGAGAGAACAAAGGAGUUUAGUUCCAUGCUUUAAAGCAAAAAAUUGAUUGAAACUGAAGCCGAAAGUACCCUAAUAAUUAGGUGAAAUCUGUGAAAGGUU